AAGUCUAGUCAUAUUUGACUCCAAAACACUAACCAAACUUCUUCUUGAUUCUCAAAGCUUUGAUGGUGUAGUCAAAGUCCGUAGGAGUCUUUGGCUUUGUAUCUUCUAACAAGGAAACACUACUUAGGCUUUUAAGAGCCGGUUGCGGUUCUAGAUCUUAUACUCAAUCAUACAACUGACAUCUAGUUAUAUUUGACUCCAAAAUACUAACCAAGCUUCUUCUUGCUUCUCAAAGCUUUGAUGGUGAAGCCGUUGGCUUUGUAUCUUCUAACAAGGAAACAAUACUUAGGCUUUCAAGAUCUGGUUGCGGUUCUAGUUCUUAUA
rnacentral:sRNA from 1 species